UUCUAUGGCGACUGGGCGGGAGGAGCCGCAAGGCUCGCCGGUGCCUCAUCGGUACGCCAACUUCCGUUUCAGUCGCCACCCCU
rnacentral:antisense_RNA from 1 species